AACGAACGCUGGCGGCAGGCUUAACACAUGCAAGUCGAGCGCCUCGCAAGAGGAGCGGCAGACGGGUGAGUAACGCGUGGGAACGUACCCUUAUCUUCGGAAUAGCUCUGGGAAACUGGAAGUAAUACCGAAUGUGCCCUUAGGGGGAAAGAUUUAUCGGAUAAGGAUCGGCCCGCGUUGGAUUAGCUAGUUGGUGGGGUAAAGGCCUACCAAGGCGACGAUCCAUAGCUGGUCUGAGAGGAUGAUCAGCCACAUUGGGACUGAGACACGGCCCAAACUCCUACGGGAGGCAGCAGUGGGGAAUAUUGGACAAUGGGCGCAAGCCUGAUCCAGCCAGGCCGCGUGAGUGAUGAAGGCCUUAGGGUUGUAAAGCUCUUUCACCGGAGAAGAUAAUGACGGUAUCCGGAGAAGAAGCCCCGGCUAACUUCGUG
rnacentral:rRNA from 1 species